rnacentral:rRNA from 1 species
CCUACGGGAGGCAGCAGUGGGGAAUAUUGCACAAUGGGGGAAACCCUGAAGCAGCCACGUCGCGUGAGUGAUGAAGUACCUCCGUAUGGUAAGCUCCAUUUGCAGGGAAGAUAAUGACGGUACGUGACCAUGAAGCCCCGGCCAACGACGAGCCAGCAGCGGUGGUUAUACGUAGGCGGCCAGCGUUAUCCGGAUUUUAUGGGUGUAAAGGGGGCGUAGGUGGGAGGGCAAGUCAGAUGUGAAAACCCGGGGCUCAACCCCAGGAGUGCAUUUGAAACUGUCCAGCUUGAGUGCAGGAGAGGUAAGCGGAAUGCGUGGUGUAGCGGUGAAAUGCAUAGAUAUUACGAAGAACUCCGAUGGCGAAGGCAGCUUACUGGACUGUAACUGACACUGAGGCUCGAAAGCGUGGGGAGCAAACAGGAUUAGAUACCCGGGUAGUC